rnacentral:rRNA from 1 species
CUACGGGGGCAGCAGUGGGGAAUAUUGGACAAUGGGCGAAAGCCUGAUCCAGCCAUGCCGCGUGUGUGAAGAAGGCCUUCGGGUUGUAAAGCACUUUCAGUGGGGAAGAAAGCCUUGGGGCUAAUACCCUCGAGGAAGGACAUCACCCACAGAAGAAGCACCGGCUAACUCCGUGCCAGCAGCCGCGGUAAUACGGAGGGUGCGAGCGUUAAUCGGAAUUACUGGGCGUAAAGCGCGCGUAGGCGGUCUGAUAAGCCGGUUGUGAAAGCCCCGGGCUCAACCUGGGAACGGCAUCCGGAACUGUCAGGCUAGAGUGCAGGAGAGGAAGGUAGAAUUCCCGGUGUAGCGGUGAAAUGCGUAGAGAUCGGGAGGAAUACCAGUGGCGAAGGCGGCCUUCUGGACUGACACUGACGCUGAGGUGCGAAAGCGUGGGUAGCAAACAGGAUUAGAUACCCCGGUAGUC